UACAGAGGGUGCAAGCGUUUAAUCGGAAUUACUGGGCGUAAAGCGUGCGUAGACGGUUACGUAAGUCAGAUGUGAAAGCCCCGGGCUCAACCUGGGAAUUGCAUUUGAGACUGCGUAGCUAGGGUGCGGAAGAGGGAAGCGGAAUUUCCGGUGUAGCGGUGAAAUGCGUAGAUAUCGGAAGGAACACCAGUGGCGAAAGCGGCUUCCUGGUCCAGCACCGACGUUCAGGCACGAAAGCGUGGGGAGCAAACAGG
rnacentral:rRNA from 1 species